rnacentral:misc_RNA from 1 species
CUCAUCACAAUCCAAAAUAAGAAAAAAAGACCAUUUCUUGUUUUCAAUUUUUGACAUAAAAAUUCUCUAUCUCUAUCUUUUUCCUAAAACCAACAAUGACGGAAGUACUCCAAUCAUCUCCAUCUCAUUUCCCUUCUCCUUCAAGCUCUUCUUCCACACCAUGUGUCAACAAUGAUAUCCCACACCAACAACUUCCACAUAGCCCCACUAGACCCCAAGA